rnacentral:rRNA from 1 species
ACGAACGCUGGCGGCGUGCUUAACACAUGCAAGUCGCACGGAAAGGCCCUGCUUUUGUGGGGUGCUCGAGUGGCGAACGGGUGGGUAACACGUGAGUAACCUGCCCUUGACUUUGGGAUAACUUCAGGAAACUGGGGCUAAUACCGGAUAGGAGCUCCUGCUGCAUGGUGGGGGUUGGAAAGUUUCGGCGGUUGGGAUGGACUCGCGGCUUAUCAGCUUGUUGGUGGGGUAGUGGCUUACCAAGGCUUUGACGGGUAGCCGGCCUGAGAGGGUGACCGGCCACAUUGGGACUGAGAUACGGCCCAGACUCCUACGGGAGGCAGCAGUGGGGAAUAUUGCACAAUGGGCGGAAGCCUGAUGCAGCAACGCCGCGUGCGGGAUGACGGCCUUCGGGUUGUAAACCGCUUUCGCCUGUGACGAAGCGUGAGUGACGGUAAUGGGUAAAGAAGCACCGGCUAACUACGUG